rnacentral:rRNA from 1 species
CCUACGGGAGGCAGCAGUGGGGAAUCUUGCGCAAUGGGCGAAAGCCUGACGCAGCCAUGCCGCGUGAAUGAUGAAGGUCUUAGGAUUGUAAAAUUCUUUCAGUAGGGACGAUAAUGACGGUACCUACAGAAGAAGCCCCGGCUAACUUCGUGCCAGCAGCCGCGGUAAUACGAAGGGGGCUAGCGUUGCUCGGAAUUACUGGGCGUAAAGGGAGCGUAGGCGGGUUAUCAAGUUGGAGGUGAAAGCCCAGGGCUCAACCUUGGAAUUGCCUUCAAAACUGAUAGCCUAGAGUAUGAUAGAGGUAUGUGGAACUCCGAGUGUAGAGGUGAAAUUCGUAGAUAUUCGGAAGAACACCAGUGGCGAAGGCGACAUACUGGGUCAUGACUGACGCUGAGGCUCGAAAGCGUGGGGAGCAAACAGGAUUAGAUACCCUGGUAGUCCACGCUGUAAACGAUGAUUGCUAGUUGUCGGACGGCAUGCCGUUCGGUGACGCNGCUACGCAUAGACAUCGCCGNGGAGGUACGGUCGCGAGAUAAACUACGAAGAAGUAGAGCGUGAGAGNGCGACGACGACGACGAGGGAGAGG